GACGAACACUGGCGGCGUGCUUAACACAUGCAAGUCGAGCGGUAAGGCCCUUUCGGGGGUACGACGAGCGGCGAACGGGUGAGUAACACGUGGGUGACCUGCCCUCAGCUCUGGGAUAAGCCUGGGAAACCGGGUCUAAUACUGGAUAUGACUCCAUGACGCAUGUUGUGGGGUGGAAAGCCUUGUGCGGCUGAGGAUGGGCCCGCGGCCUAUCAGCCUGUUGGUGGGGUGAUGGCCUACCAAGGCGACGACGGGUAGCCGGCCUGAGAGGGCGACCGGCCACACUGGGACUGAGACACGGCCCAGACUCCUACGGGAGGCAGCAGUGGGGAAUCUUGCGCAAUGGGCGAAAGCCUGACGCAGCGACGCCGCGUGAGGGAUGACGGCCU
rnacentral:rRNA from 1 species